UUGAUUUAAUGCUGGCCCCAAGCUAUGAGGUUAGUAGAGGACUGCCCUCCUGUCCUGCAGACGUACAAGGCCAAAUCUUUGAAGUCCAGUGUGUAUUUCCCACAGCACAUCUCCGUUCGGACUAGCCACACUCUCAGAUUCCACAGCUAUAUGUGACCAGUGACUACUGCGGUGGGCAGAGCAAGGCUAGAAGGUAUUCAGCAUGACCUCAGGCAAGUAAGUCUGAAGCAACCAGAGGUGAAACAUCUCCCAGUGGGAUUUUUUUUU